GAGGAAGUGACUGUCAAAAAUUACAUUGCUUGUCAGCAGCAGAAUCUUUCUAAUGAUUCUCUGAAGUGAUCUGCUUAGUUCCUGUUUGCGUUCCUCUAAAGCAAAGACUGUAGUGGCUUUAUAAGCAUCUGAGAGCAGUGCUCUAUUUCUGUACUCUUGCUCCCAGGGUUCCCUUAUUUAGUCUUUGCUCUAAUACACAGCUCAGGGGUUACUGGACUCCCUUGCAUUGUCCCAGCACUGGGAUUGACUGUGUGUUUAAUCGCCACUGACAACCAGGCACUGUGCCCUCAGUACAUUCUAACAAUUGCCCUGUGAGAGAAACCAACAUAGUCAUUUUGCAGAUGUGGAAACAGAGGCAGAAAUAAGAAGCUGUGCCUAAGGUCACCCAGAUACAAAAUGAAGAAAACUUAGGAAAAUUGCAUCGUGAUCAAGAGCUCUGACCUUGGCAAGUUUCUUAGCCCAUUUGUCUCCUUGCUUUCUGUAAAAUGGAGUAAUAAGAGUAUCUGCCCUAAAAGGAGGUGGUAGGGAUUAUUAACGCUUGUAAAGUGCUUGGAGGAAUGCUUGGCACAUAGUAUGAGCUCGAUAAAUGUCAGCCUUAAACACAACAAACAAAACCAAACUGCUUCUAAAGUUUGUGUCCUUUGUGCAACUCCCUGACGCCUCACAAGGAAUCAGGGAAUUGAAUUCCUACUGAGAAACUCGGAGCAAGAUUCAAGAUUGCAAGGCAUUGGAAAGUGUGGCCUACUUAGAAAGCACACUCACUCACAUACACACACACACAGCUACUUUUAAUAGCUGGUAAGAGCCAGAGAAAAUCCAAUUACAGAUGAGUCAAUCGAUUAAAAAAAAAGAGGGCAGAAUAAAUGAAAGAAUGUUGGAGAGACACAGAACCAAAUUACAACCGGAUAAUAGAAUUAAGGUCUGUAGAACAAACCGGGAGAAAUAACAAAGGGAUACAGGCUGGAGACGCUUUCACAGCUUUGUAAUGAUUUGAUUCUUUCUGAACCCCUAGACUCCAAAGAGCGGUUAUAGGACCAACGCCCCAAACAAGUGGGUGGAUCAGAAACAGCCGGAAUUGUGUUUGGCAAGUCAUAGUUUGUGGAGAAAUGAACCACGUGUGGCCUGGGGAAGAAGAGGAUUGUGUUUGAGUUAAACAGAUGCUCCUAGUUAAGGGUGAGAGUCGCGGGCCCAGAUACAAGCCGACUUCGAUUAGCAAAGUGUGGUGGAGAAGACAGUUAGAGCUGAGGCCGACGAUGUAAGAUCUGCUCUUACUUCUUGCUGCAUGACUGGUGUGGUGGAGAAGAGAGAGAGUUAGAGCUGAGGCAGAUGAUGUAAGAUCUGCUCUUACUUCCUGCUGUGUGACCUUGGGUAAGUCAUAGCCUCUCUGAGCCUACAUAUUUAUCUGUAAAUUUAGAUCAGCAAUAAAGAUAUAAGAUUCAGUGAGAGUUAACUAUGAGCCAGCUGCUAUUCUAAGUGCUUUACUUAUGUCAACAGUUAACAACUUUAGGAGAUAAAUAUUAAUGUCUUUAUUUUACACAUGAAGCAACUGAGACACAGAGAAGUUAAUUAAUUUAUCAGGAAUCACAAAACUAAUUGCUUGCAGAACAAGAGUCAAGCCUAGGCUAUCUGAUUCCAGAACCCAGAUCCCUAACCCUUUGUAUUAACCUGCUUCCAUAAGCUGCCCAUUAUUCCAGUUUACCUUAGGGGGUCUGUGAACAGAUAUAACUAC